rnacentral:rRNA from 1 species
GCGGAGGAAAAGAAACUAACUAGGAUUCCCUUAGUAACGGCGAGUGAACCGGGAUGAGCUCAAAUUUGAAAUCUGGCGUCUUUCAGGCGUCCGAGUUGUAAUCUAUAGAGGCGUUUUCCGCGCCGGACCGCGUCCAAGUCUCUUGGAAUAGAGUAUCAAAGAGGGUGACAAUCCCGUACUUGACGCGACAACCGGUGCUCUGUGAUACGUUCUCAAUGAGUCGAGUUGUUUGGGAAUGCAGCUCUAAAUGGGUGGUAAAUUCCAUCUAAGGCUAAAUAUUGGCGAGAGACCGAUAGCGAACAAGUACCGUGAGGGAAAGAUGAAAAGCACUUUGGAAAGAGAGUUAAACAGCACGUGAAAUUGUUAAAAGGGAAACGAUUGAAGUCAGUCGUGUGGGAAGUAUUCAGCCGUCUCUGGCGGUGUAUUUGCUUCUCACGGGUCAACAUCAGUUUGAUCCGGUAGAAAAAGGCGGGAAGAAGGUGGCACCCUCGGGUGUGUUAUAGCUUCCUGUCAUAUGUGCCGGACCAGACUGAGGAACGCAGCUUGCAGCAAUGCCGGGGUUCGCCCACGUACAAGCUUAGGAUGUUGACAUAAUGGCUUUAAACGACCCGUCUUG